rnacentral:rRNA from 1 species
UUCUCCCUACGGGGGGCAGCAGUGGGGAAUAUUGGGCAAUGGGCGCAAGCCUGACCCAGCGACGCCGCGUGAAGGAAGAAGGCUUUCGGGUUGUAAACUUCUUUUCUCAGGGACGAAGAGAGUGACGGUACCUGAGGAAUAAGCCACGGCUAACUACGCGCCAGCAGCCGCGGUAAUACGUAGGUGGCAAGCGUUAUCCGGAUUUAUUGGGUGUAAAGGGCGUGUAGGCGGGAGC